rnacentral:rRNA from 1 species
CCUACGGGAGGCAGCAGUAGGGAAUAUUGGGCAAUGGACGCAAGUCUGACCCAGCCAUGCCGCGUGCAGGAAGAAGGCGUUAUGCGUUGUAAACUGCUUUUAUACAGGAAGAAACGACUCUUGCGAGAGGCAUUGACGGUACUGUAUGAAUAAGCACCGGCUAACUCCGUGCCGGCAGCCGCGGUAAUACGGAGGGUGCAAGCGUUGUCCGGAUUUAUUGGGUUUAAAGGGUGCGCAGGUGGUUUAUUAAGUCAGUGGUGAAAGACGGUCGCUCAACGAUUGCAGUGCCAUUGAAACUGGUAGACUUGAGUAAAGUAGAGGUGGGCGGAAUUGAUAGUGUAGCGGUGAAAUGCAUAGAUAUUAUCAAGAACUCCAAUUGCGAAGGCAGCUCACUUGGCUUUUACUGACACUCGUGCACGAAAGUGUGGGUAUCAAACAGGAUUAGAUACCCUGGUAGUCCACACUGUAAACGAUGAUAACUAGGUGUCGGCCGAAUCUGGUCGGUGCCGACAGACGAAGACGUAAGUUAGUCACCGUGGUAGGUACGCGCGACGUUAGAACGUACGAAGAAGUUAGAGGCGNGAGAGNGCGACGGACGACGACGAGGGAGGAGG